UGGAGAGUUUGAUCCUGGCUCAGGACGAACGCUGGCGGCGUGCCUAAUACAUGCAAGUCGAGCGGACUGUUCCUUCGGGGACAGUUAGCGGCGGACGGGUGAGUAACACGUAGGCAACCUGCCUGU
rnacentral:rRNA from 1 species